rnacentral:lncRNA from 1 species
CUAGUGAACAGCACGGUUUCUUCCCUCUGGCCAGGAUUAGGUCACAGAGUGGCCCAGCAGCGUGGGUUUGAACAUUUCCUCCUGUUCUAACAGCCCUCGUAAAAAAAUAGGUUGAUUUGUGUUGGUGUUUGCUGAUAUGUGAUACUGUGUUUUCCAGGUCCCAACCAGAUGAACCAGAUACUCUUCGAUCUCCAAGCCCUCUAAUGAUCUUGCAGUGAUACUUGAAUGAGUCGCUGCCGAAUCCAGCUGGCCGGCAGCCCGAGAGACUGCAGUCCUCAGCGUAGCCACAGCACAGGGCAAACCUCGGAACCUCGGCAGAAACGAGGAGCUUUCUCUUCGGAUGUUCUCACCAAAAGGCUAUUUUCAACUUCCCUUGUUCCAGAGACUUGGCCUGGAGUUAGGAGGAAACCCCAUAACUGUCCCUUAAAGUUGAAUUGCAUCAGUGUGGGUAAGAUGUUGGGCCAAAUUCUUUAAUGGUGUAAUUCCAUGAAAAUCAGAAAUCCUACACCAGGGCUGAAUCUGCCCCGUGGUAGAAAUUUAUGUCCCUAGAGGCAAGACUUUUGGAAACAGUAUCAUAUUUUAAUUAUAAGCAGACAAUUUGUUUUGGGUUGUAUACAGAGCAUGGAAAUCUAACUGCUAUAGGGACUAGCUACAUAUAUGGUGAUUUUACUCCUAUUUCUAGCGCUGUUUGCUUUAUUUGUGUAUGACUUGCAGGUGGCUAAAUGAUCCAACAAACUUCUUUUUAUGUACUUGAACGAGCCCCCAUUGAAUUUAAGAUUUUAAAAGAUUACAGUGCUGGGUUUAGAACAUCAUUUGUCCAUUUUGCAGUAAGUUUAGGAGAAAGGCCACAUGUUGGUUAUAAUCUGGGAAGUACAGAUUCCAGUUAACAAUCUUAGCCUUGGAGAACAAUUAUAUUUUUUACG